rnacentral:rRNA from 1 species
CAGGGGUUGUCAACGGCUUUUCUACAGGAAUAACCAUAUCUACGUGUAGAUAUUUGACGGUACUGUACGAAUAAGGAUCGGCUAACUCCGUGCCAGCAGCCGCGGUAAUACGGAGGAUCCAAGCGUUAUCCGGAAUCAUUGGGUUUAAAGGGUCCGUAGGCGGUCUAAUAAGUCAGAGGUGAAAUCCUACAGCUCAACUGUAGCAUUGCCUUUGAUACUGUUAGACUUGAGUUAUUGUGAAGUAGUUAGAAUGUGUAGUGUAGCGGUGAAAUGCAUAGAUAUUACACAGAAUACCGAUUGCGAAGGCAGAUUACUAACAAUAUACUGACGCUGAGGGACGAAAGCGUGGGUAGCGAACAGGAUUAGAUACCCUGGUAGUCCACGCCGUAAACGAUGGAUACUAGCUGUUCGAUCAACAUUGGUUGGUUGAGUGGCUAAGCGAAAGUGAUAAGUAUCCCACCUGGGGAGUACGCUCGCAAGAGUGAAACUCAAAGGAAUUGACGGA